UACGUAGGGUCCGAGCGUUGUCCGGAAUUAUUGGGCGUAAAGGGCUCGUAGGCGGUUCGUCACGUCGGGAGUGAAAACUCGGAGCUUAACUCCGAGCCUGCUUCCGAUACGGGCAGACUAGAGGUAGGCAGGGGAGAGCGGAACUCCUGGUGUAGCGGUGGAAUGCGUAGAUAUCAGGAGGAACACCGGUGGUGUAGACGGCUUACUGGACCACGACUGACACUGAGGCACGAAAGCGUGGGUAGCAAACAGG
rnacentral:rRNA from 1 species